AGCUCCAAUAGCGUAUAUUAAAGUUGUUGCAGUUAAAAAGCUCGUAGUCGAAGUUCUGACUGACUGUGUUUCCGGCUUCGGUCGACUCAUAGUCUAGUCAUCCGUCGGAGAACUCUUGUCGUCCUUCACUGGUCGCUUGAGGGAACUGACCCUUUACUUUGAAAAAAUUAGAGUGUUUCAGGCAGGCUCUCGCCCGAAUACUCCAGCAUGGAAUAAUGGAAUAGGACUUUCUUCUAUUUUGUUGGUUAUUAGUGGAAAGUAAUGAUUAAUAGGGACAGUUGGGGGCAUUCGUACUUAAUUGUCAGAGGUGAAAUUCUUGGAUUUAUUAAAGACGAACUAAUGCGAAAGCAUUUGCCAAGGAUGUUUUCA
rnacentral:rRNA from 1 species